AAUUAGUCCUCUCUAAUGUAAAACAAUGAUCUUAUCAAAUUGUUUUGCCUCGCUUGUGGACAAUAUCAAAAUUUCUAUUAUCCUAGCGUCUAACCUUAGAUAAAUGGUGUGAUGCUCGAGAAACAUAGAAAAACAAUU